UACGGAAGGGGCAAGCGUUGUUCGGAAUCAUUGGGCGUAAAGAGCGCGUAGGCGGUCGUGUAAGUCGAACGUGAAAGCCCCCGGCUUAACUGGGGAGGGUCGUUCGAUACUGCUCGACUUGAAGGCAGGAGAGGGAAGUGGAAUUCCCGGUGUAGUGGUGAAAUGCGUAGAUAUCGGGAGGAACACCAGUGGCGAAGGCGACUUUCUGGCCUGUUCUUGACGCUGAGGCGCGAAAGCUAGGGGAGCAAACGGG
rnacentral:rRNA from 1 species